rnacentral:rRNA from 1 species
GAUGAACGCUGACAGAAUGCUUAACACAUGCAAGUCGACUGUGGCGGACGGGUGAGUAACGCGGAAAGAACUUGCCUCACAGAUAGGGACACCCUUUGGAAACGAAUGCUAAUACCUGAUACUGUGAGAGAGCUUUGCGUCCCAUUAGCUAGUUGGAGAAGUAACGGCUCACGAAGGAGAUGAUGGGUAGCCGGCCUGAGAGGGUGAUCGGCUACAAGGGGACUGGGACACGGCCCUUACGCCUCCGGGAGGCAGCAGUGCGGAAUAGUGGACAAGGGACCAAAGUCUGAUCCAGCAAUUCUGUGUGCACGAUGAAGUUUUCGGAAUGUAAAGUGCUUUCAGUUGGGAAGCGGUACCAACAGAAGAAGUGACGGCUAAAUACGUGCCAGCAGCCGCGGUAAUAC